AGCGAACGUUUGCGGCGGGCCUAACACAUGCAAGUCGAACGGGCAGGGGUAACUCCUGUCAGUGGCGCACGGGUGCGUAACACGUGGGUAAUCAACCCUUUGGACUGGGGACAACCCGGGGAAACUCGGGCUAAUACCGGAUGUGGCAUGUCGGUCUUCGGGCUGACAUGCGAAAGCCUCGCAAGGGGCACCAGAGGACGAGCCCGCGGCCCAUCAGCUAGUUGGUGAGGUAAUGGCUCACCAAGGCGAAGACGGGUAGCUGGUCUGAGAGGACGAUCAGCCACACUGGCACUGCGACACGGGCCAGACUCCUACGGGAGGCAGCAGUAAGGAAUAUUGCGCAAUGGGACGAAAGCCUGACGCAGCGACGCCGCGUGGGGAUGAAGGUCUUCGGAUUGUAAACCC
rnacentral:rRNA from 1 species